rnacentral:rRNA from 1 species
UAGGGAAUCUUCCGCAAUGGGCGAAAGCCUGACGGAGCAACGCCGCGUGAGUGAUGAAGGUCUUCGGAUCGUAAAACUCUGUUAUUAGGGAAGAACAAAUGUGUAAGUAACUAUGCACGUCUUGACGGUACCUAAUCAGAAAGCCACGGCUAACUACGUGCCAGCAGCCGCGGUAAUACGUAGGUGGCAAGCGUUAUCCGGAAUUAUUGGGCGUAAAGCGCGCGUAGGCGGUUUUUUAAGUCUGAUGUGAAAGCCCACGGCUCAACCGUGGAAGGUCAUGGGAAACUGGAAAACUUGAGUGCAGAAGAGGAAAGUGGAAUUCCAUGUGUAGCGGUGAAAUGCGCAGAGAUAUGGGGGAACACCAGUGGCGAAGGCGACUUUCUGGUCUGUAACUGACGCUGAUGUGCGAAAACGUGGGGAUCAAACAGG